GACGAACGCUGGCGGCAGGCCUAACACAUGCAAGUCGAGCGAAGCCUUCGGGCUUAGCGGCGGACGGGUGAGUAACGCGUGGGAACGUGCCCUUUGGUACGGAAUAGCCCCGGGAAACUGGGAGUAAUACCGUAUGUGGUCGAGAGACGAAAGAUUUAUCGCCAAAGGAUCGGCCCGCGUUGGAUUAGGUAGUUGGUGGGGUAAUGGCCUACUAAGCCGACGAUCCAUAGCUGGUUUGAGAGGAUGAUCAGCCACCCUGGGACUGAGACACGGACCAGACUCCUACGGGAGGCAGCAGUGGGGAAUCUUAGACAAUGGGGGAAACCCUGAUCUAGCCAUGCCGCGUGAUCGAUGAAGGCCUUAGGGUUGUAAAGAUCUUUCAGUGGGGAGGAUAAUGACUGUACCCACAGAAGAAGCCCCGGCUAACUCCGUGCCAGCAGCCGCAGUAAGAC
rnacentral:rRNA from 1 species